UACCUGGUUGAUCCUGCCAGUAGUCAUAUGCUUGUCUCAAAGAUUAAGCCAUGCAAGUCUAAGUACGAGCUCUCGUACAGUGAAACUGCGAAUGGCUCAUUAAAUCAGUUAUGGUUCAUUUGAUCGUACAGUUUACUUGGAUAACU
rfam:Ciona savignyi cont_47762, whole genome shotgun sequence.